CGCGGGGUAGAGCAGUUUGGUAGCUCGCAAGGCUCAUAACCUUGAGGUCGCAGGUUCAAAUCCUGUCUCCGCAA
rnacentral:tRNA from 5 species